AUUGAACGCUGGCGGCAUGCCUUACACAUGCAAGUCGAACGGUAACAGGUCUUCGGAUGCUGACGAGUGGCGAACGGGUGAGUAAUACAUCGGAACGUGCCUAGUAGUGGGGGAUAACUACUCGAAAGAGUGGCUAAUACCGCAUGAGAUCUACGGAUGAAAGCAGGGGGUCGCAAGACCUUGUGCUACUAGAGCGGCCGAUGGCAGAUUAGGUAGUUGGUGGGAUAAAAGCUUACCAAGCCGACGAUCUGUAGCUGGUCUGAGAGGACGAACAGCCACACUGGGACUGAGACACUGCCCAGACUCCUACGGGAGGCAGCAGUGGGGAAUUUUGGACAAUGGGCGAAAGCCUGAUCCAGCAAUGCCGCGUGCAGGAUGAAGGCCUUCGGGUUGUAAACUGCUUUUGUACGGAACGAAAAGCCCCGGGUUAAUACCCUGGGGUCAUGACGGUACCGUAAGAAUAAGCACCGGCUAACUACGUGCCAGCAGCCGCAGUAA
rnacentral:rRNA from 1 species